rnacentral:rRNA from 1 species
AUGCAGUCGACGGAAAGCCCCUUCGGGGGUACUCGAGUGGCGAACGGGUGAGUAACACGUGGGCAAUCUGCCCUGCACUUCGGGAUAAGCCCGGGAAACUGGGUCUAAUACCGGAUAGGACCUUUAGACGCAUGUCUUUUGGUGGAAAGCUUUUGCGGUGUGGGAUGGGCCCGCGGCCUAUCAGCUUGUUGGUGGGGUGAUGGCCUACCAAGGCGACGACGGGUAGCCGGCCUGAGAGGGUGUCCGGCCACACUGGGACUGAGAUACGGCCCAGACUCCUACGGGAGGCAGCAGUGGGGAAUAUUGCACAAUGGGCGCAAGCCUGAUGCAGCGACGCCGCGUGGGGGAUGACGGCCUUCGGGUUGUAAACCUCUUUCACCAUCGACGAAGGUUCGGGUUUUCUCGGACUGACGGUAGGUGGAGAAGAAGCACCGGCCAACUACGUGCCAGCAGCCGCGGUAAUACGUAGGGUGCGAGCGUUGUCCGGAAUUACUGGGCGUAAAGAGCUCGUAGGUGGUUUGUCGCGUUGUUCGUGAAAUCUCACGGCUUAACUGUGAGCGUGCGGGCGAUACGGGCAGACUAGAGUACUGCAGGGAGACUGGAAUUCCUGGUGUAGCGGUGGAAUGCGCAGAUAUCAGGAGGAACACCGGUGGCGAAGGCGGGUCUCUGGGCAGUAACUGACGCUGAG